rnacentral:rRNA from 1 species
UGGGGAAUUUUCCGCAAUGGGCGAAAGCCUGACGGAGCAACGCCGCGUGCGGGAUGACGGCCUGUGGGUUGUAAACCGCUUUUAACAGGGAAGAAGAUCUGACGGUACCUGUUGAAUCAGCAUCGGCUAACUCCGUGCCAGCAGCCGCGGUAAGACGGAGGAUGCAAGCGUUAUCCGGAAUUAUUGGGCGUAAAGCGUCCGCAGGUGGCCAUUCAAGUCUGCCGUUAAAGCCCAGGGCUCAACUCUGGAUUGGCGGUGGAAACUGAAUAGCUAGAGUACGGUAGGGGCAGAGGGAAUUCCCAGUGUAGCGGUGAAAUGCGUAGAUAUUGGGAAGAACACCGGUGGCGAAGGCGCUCUGCUGGGCCGUAACUGACACUCAUGGACGAAAGCUAGGGGAGCGAAAGGGAUUAGAUACCCCCGUAGUCC